rnacentral:rRNA from 1 species
UCAAGCGUAAAAAGGGCAUUUGGGGAAUGCCUUGGCAGCAAGAGGCGAUGAAGGACGUGAUACCCUGCGAUAAGCUACGGGAAGCCGGGAAUAGGCUUUGAUCCGUAGAUUUCCGAAUGGGGCAACCCACCUAUUGAUGCUUUAUUGAUGAGGCAACUCGUCAUUAAAGGAUCAUAUUAAGGUAUUAUAAAUCUGAAUAUAUAGGAUUUAUAAAGCAAACCCGGAGAACUGAAACAUCUAAGUACCCGGAGGAAAGGACAUCAACCGAGACUCUGUUAGUAGUGGCGAGCGAACGCAGACCAGCCAAGUUAUGAGAUUUACUAGAACGGAUUGGAAAAUCCGGCCAAAGAGGGUGACAGCCCCGUAUAGAAAAAGUUGAUUGACUGUAUUAAGUAGGGCGGGACACGUGAAAUCCUGUCUGAAGAUCGGGGGACCACCCUCGAAGGCUAAGUACUCCUUGCUGACCGAUAGUGAACCAGUACCGUGAGGGAAAGGUGAAAAGUACCCUGAUUAAGGGAGUGAAAUAGUACCUGAAACCGAAUGCUUACAAUCAGUCGGAGCCGCUUUGGCGGUGACGGCGUACCUUUUGUAUAAUGGGUCAUCGACUUGGUCUUACGAGCAAGCUUAAGCCGAUAGGUGUAGGCGUAGCGAAAGCGAGUCUUAACAGGGCGUUUAGUUCGUGGGAUCAGACCCGAAACCGAGUGAUCUAGGCAUGGACAGGCUGAAGGCAAGAUAACACUUGCUGGAGGGCCGAACCCACAUCUGUUGAAAUAGAUCGGGAUGAGCUGUGCCUAGGGGUGAAAGGCCAAUCAAACUCGGAGAUAGCUGGUUCUCUGCGAAAUCUAUUUAGGUAGAGCGUUGGACGAAUACCUUCGGGGGUAGAGCACUGGAUGGGUAAUGGGGCCACACAGGCUUACUGAUCCUAACCAAACUCCGAAUACCGAAGAGUACUAUCCGGCAGUCACACUACGGGUGCUAACGCCCGUAGUGGAAAGGGAAACAACCCUAACCGACAGCUAAGGCCCCUAAUUCGUGGCUAAGUGGGAAAGCAUGUGAGACGACCAAAACAACCAGGAGGUUGGCUUAGAAGCAGCCAUCCUUUAAAGAAAGCGUAAUAGCUCACUGGUCUAAACAAGUUGUCUUGCGGCGAAGAUGUAACGGGGCUCAAGCCACGAGCCGAAGCUUCGGGUCGCGCAAGCGGCGGUAGCAGAGCGUUCUGUAUUUGCUUGUUUUUGUUCAGAUUUUUCUGAAGUCUGGAUAAAAAUAGGUGCGUUGAAGAUAUUCUGUGAGGAAUGUUGGAGUAUACAGAAGUGAUAAUGAUGACAUGAGUAGCGAUAAACAGAGUGAGAAACUCUGUCGCCGAAAGCCCAAGGGUUCCUGUUUAAAGUUAAUCUGAGCAGGGUUAGCCGGCUCCUAAGGCGAGGCCGAGAGGCGUAGUCGAUGGGAAUCAGGUUAAUAUUCCUGAGCCAGUGGGAGUGUGACGGAUUGCAAUGACUGUCUGAUCUUAUUGGAUUGAUCAGGCUACUGUUGCGGUUCCUGGAAAUAGCACCCACAUAAAGACCGUACCCUAAACCGACACAGGUGGGCAGGUAGAGAAUACCAAGGCGCUUGAGAGAACCACGUUGAAGGAACUCGGCAAAUUGCCUCCGUACGUUCGCAAGAAGGAGGCCCAGUCUUUAGGUAACUAGAGGCUGGGGUCACAAACUAGGGGGUGGCGACUGUUUACUAAAAACACAGGGCUCUGCUAAGCCGCAAGGCGAUGUAUAGGGUCUGACGCCUGCCCGGUGCCGGAAGGUUAAAAGGAGAUGUGCAAGCAUUGAAUUGAAGCCCCGGUAAACGGCGGCCGUAACUAUAACGGUCCUAAGGUAGCGAAAUUCCUUGUCGGGUAAGUUCCGACCUGCACGAAUGGCGUAACGACUUCCCCACUGUCUCCAACGUGGACUCAGCGAAAUUGAAUUGCCUGUCAAGAUGCAGGCUUCCCGCGGUUAGACGGAAAGACCCCGUGAACCUUUACUACAGCUUCGCAUUGGCAACAGGCUUGUGAUGUGCAGGAUAGGUGGUAGGCAUGGAAAUCAGAGCGUCAGUUCUGGUGGAGCCACCCUUGAGAUACCACCCUUGACAUUCUUGUUGUCUAACCGCAAUCCGUCAUCCGGAUUCGGGACCGUGCGUGGUGGGUAGUUUGACUGGGGUGGUCACCUCCUAAAGAGUAACGGAGGUGUGCAAAGGUGGGCUCAGAGCGGUCGGAAAUCGCUCGUAGAGUAUAAUGGCAAAAGCCCGCUUGACUGCGAGACUGACAGGUCGAGCAGAGACGAAAGUCGGCCAUAGUGAUCCGGUGGUUCCAUGUGGAAGGGCCAUCGCUCAACGGAUAAAAGGUACUCCGGGGAUAACAGGCUAAUGGUGCCCAAGAGUUCAUAUCGACGGCACCGUUUGGCACCUCGAUGUCGGCUCAUCUCAUCCUGGGGCUGAAGCAGGUUCCAAGGGUAUGGCUGUUCGCCAUUUAAAGAGGUACGUGAGCUGGGUUUAGAACGUCGUGAGACAGUUCGGUCCCUAUCUGCCGUGGGUGUAGGAAACUUGAGAGGAGCUGUCCCUAGUACGAGAGGACCGGGAUGGACGUACCACUGGUGGACCUGUUGUGGCGCCAGCCGCAGUGCAGGGUAGCUAUGUACGGAAUGGAUAACCGCUGAAAGCAUCUAAGCGGGAAGCCAACCUCAAAAUAAGGUUUCCCUUGAGGAAUGUGGUAGACCACCACGCGAUAGGCCGGAAGUGUAAGUGCAGCAAUGCAUUCAGCAGACCGGUACUAAUUUUCCAAUCGGCUUGAUUUG